rnacentral:sRNA from 1 species
GCUGGGUAUGUUGGUGCACCCCUGUAAUCCCAGCUACUCAGGAGGCUGAGACAGGAGGAUUAUAAAUUCAAUUAGUGAGAACCUGUCUCAA